UACGUAGGGCGCAAGCGUUGUCCGGAAUUAUUGGGCAUAAAGAGCUCGUAGGCGGCCAGUUGCGUCCGCUGUGAAAUCCCAGGGCUUAACCCUGGGCGUGCAGUGGAUACGGGCUGGCUGGAGGCAGGCAGGGGAGAACGGAAUUCCCGGUGUAGCGGUGAAAUGCGCAGAUAUCAGGAGGAACACCGAUGGCGAAGGCAGGUCUCUGGGCAUUAACUGACGCUGAGGAGCGAAAGCAUGGGGAGCGAACAGG
rnacentral:rRNA from 1 species